UACAUGUGAUUAGUAUUUUAUAUAAAUGUGCUUUAUUAGCAACCCAGUAUUUUAACACUGACACAUACCCUGUACAAAUGUGGCCUACUGGGAGCUGCCAUUUCCACCAGGGUCUGAUGAGACGCCCCCUUCCUUCCAUUAAGGGAUGACCUUCAUUACUGCAGAGGCCCGGUAGUGGACUCCUGUGUGGGAGGACCCCUUCCUGUCUUCAUUUCAUCUUUUUCCCUGUUGGUUACAAGCAAUGUCAACGCCGUGUCAUUGUGCUUUCAUAUACUGAUAUCAUCCCAAAAUAGACUGAAGCAGUAAAGCCUUGUGCUUGUUGCACCUGAGGACCUCGUACCUGCAACAAGGGAUGCCCAGUGAUUGAGGGAAUAGGGGGGCGGGUACCUCCUCAGAAAUCAUUCCCAAGGUGCUCAGGAGCCAUAUGUACAAGGUGCCAGUUCCAGCCCAGAUUGGCUGUCCCUCUGUGCCGCGGCCGCCAGGGAUUGGCAGGCCCAAGACGCCGGGCUUCUUAGCGCCCGGGGUUUCCAGGUGGCGCCGGGGGUCGGAGCUGGCAGCGGAGCCUCGUCCCUCCACUUUCUUUGUCAAGCGUUGUGUGUGUUGAAUGUUCCAGUAAUGUGAACUUAGACUUUUUUCUCGUUUAUGCUGUAGAUGUUCGGGGUCGUCGUUAGCAUUGGUAGCUAAUUAGUCUGCGUUAGCUUAGCAGUUUGCUAAAGCGGCCUUGUUUUGUGUAGCUUGACCGCCUACAAGACAAUGUACCUUGUAAAUAGUUAAGACCACUAAACUCUUGAAGCAGUAGGGGUGAAUCGCCAUUUCUUUUUGUACACUGUUUUCUCCUGUUUUUGUUACCAUGGGGAGUUAAGUUUAGAAAAUGUCUUUUGUUUACUCUUCUGUUUGAUUAGGGAUUAGUUAGGAAAUAGUUGUUUUUUUGUUUAUUAUUUUGGCCUUGAUUCACCCUGAAGCUCAGCUUCAUUCAUUGAAAAUUAAGUCAUUCCACGAGGAAUACAGUCUUGUCACAUUUUUUUGUCAUACUGCUUGUUUGUGGUAGCAAUAAAUUGCUUUGUUUUGCA